rnacentral:rRNA from 2 species
GAUGAACGCUGGCGGCGUGCCUAAUACAUGCAAGUCGAACGAGUUCUCGUUGAUGAUCGGUGCUUGCACCGAGAUUCAACAUGGAACGAGUGGCGGACGGGUGAGUAACACGUGGGUAACCUGCCCUUAAGUGGGGGAUAACAUUUGGAAACAGAUGCUAAUACCGCAUAGAUCCAAGAACCGCAUGGUUCUUGGCUGAAAGAUGGCGUAAGCUAUCGCUUUUGGAUGGACCCGCGGCGUAUUAGCUAGUUGGUGAGGUAAUGGCUCACCAAGGCGAUGAUACGUAGCCGAACUGAGAGGUUGAUCGGCCACAUUGGGACUGAGACACGGCCCAAACUCCUACGGGAGGCAGCAGUAGGGAAUCUUCCACAAUGGACGCAAGUCUGAUGGAGCAACGCCGCGUGAGUGAAGAAGGCUUUCGGGUCGUAAAACUCUGUUGUUGGAGAAGAAGGUCGGCAGAGUAACUGU